rnacentral:rRNA from 1 species
AGCUCCAAUAGCGUAUAUUAAAGUUGUUGCAGUUAAAAAGCUCGUAGUUGAAUUUCUGGUGGGAGCGAUCGGUCCAUCCUUCAUUGGUUGGAACCUGAUUGUCUCCUGCCAUCCAUGGAGAGAACUUAUCUGGCAUUAAGUUGUCGGGUUGGCAAUCUUCAUCUUUUACUGUAGAAAAAAUUAGAGUGUUCAAAGCAGGCUUAUGCCGUUGAAUAUAUUAGCAUGGAAUAAUAAGAUAGGACUAUGGUACUAUUUUGUUGGUUUGUGC